CUGGUGGUGCCAUCAUAGGUGCGACACACUUAGGGCAUCCCUAGUCAGUUCAGCUGUUAUUUGUUCGGUCCAGGCUAAUGACGGCCCGACUGGUCCACUCCAACCGCUAGUUGUGUAACACCCUUAUCCUGUAUCUGUUGUCGGAAUAGGGUUACGAAACAUUACCAAAUAAAUGUAACAUAAUCAUUCUUUUCAAAACAUUCAAUGAACAUAGCAUAAUCCAAUAUUAUACAAGCAUAUCAUCC
rnacentral:lncRNA from 1 species